UGUUUCCCUAGGCAUUAAUUGCUGAUUCACUUCUCGUCUCAAAACGCUUUUAUAUUUGCAUGUUUUGAGCUUUUGCUUGAAGCAGACUCUCAGUUAGGUACUGGCCAUAAAAGUUUCUUGAGGAGCUAGCUUCUGGGUAAAUAAAUGCGUCUACUACUGUUAAAUUGAGCUCAUCCAUAUUGUGCUGGACAAAUAUCUCCCUGAAUGUGGCAUCUCUGUAAUUCAGAAGGAAGACAUUAACUGACGUUGGAUAAAUCCAUGAAAGGCCUCUUACAGAAGGUGAAAUUUGAGCUGAGUCUUGAGGAGGACCGAAGGAACUAGGAGAGGAGAUACCUUCGCAGAUAACACCCUGCCUCCAAUACAAAGCUCGACCAAUCUCUUGUCACCAAUUCACAAACAAGCCGAUCUAAGACAUCCUUCUGUCUCAGAAUCCCAGCCUCAAAUCGCUACACUCAAGAAAAGAGAAAAAUCCUACUUCAUCUUGAUUAAAUGUGAACAUGUGACUUUGAAAACAUUAAGUACUAUGUACAUGUGACUUAACAUUAUUAUUAAUUAUCACAAUGGCACAUUAGUCAAAAACACGAAUACAUUCUUUGUUCUUAUCAUGUUGUAUCUGGUACUUCUCUGUACUACAAGAUUGUAAGUUCUUUGAUGGUGGCAACUAUGUUAUCAUCUUUUAUCUUUGUAACCCCAGACUCUUUCUUAGUAUCUGGCAUAUAACAGGAACUUUAAUAAGUUUGUCAAGUUGAGUUGAACUGAACAUUUGUCCUCGUAGGGAUAAAACAGAAACCAAGAAUGAGAGAAAUAUGUCUGAGGAAAAUAGCUUUGAGCUUGCUUAAAAGUAAGGAGUGAAUGGGGCAGCUAGGUGGUGCAAUGGAUAGAGCCCCAGCCUUGGAGUCAGGAGGACCUGAGUUCAAA